rnacentral:rRNA from 1 species
ACGCUUUUUCUUUCACCGGAGCUUGCUCCACCGAAAGAAAAAGAGUGGCGAACGGGUGAGUAACACGUGGGUAACCUGCCCAUCAGAAGGGGAUAACACUUGGAAACAGGUGCUAAUACCGUAUAACACUAUUUUCCGCAUGGAAGAAAGUUGAAAGGCGCUUUUGCGUCACUGAUGGAUGGACCCGCGGUGCAUUAGCUAGUUGGUGAGGUAACGGCUCACCAAGGCCACGAUGCAUAGCCGACCUGAGAGGGUGAUCGGCCACACUGGGACUGAGACACGGCCCAGACUCCUACGGGAGGCAGCAGUAGGGAAUCUUCGGCAAUGGACGAAAGUCUGACCGAGCAACGCCGCGUGAGUGAAGAAGGUUUUCGGAUCGUAAAACUCUGUUGUUAGAGAAGAACAAGGAUGAGAGUAGAACGUUCAUCCCUUGACGGUAUCUAACCAGAAAGCCACGGCUAACUACGUGCCAGCAGCCGCGGUAAUACGUAGGUGGCAAGCGUUGUCCGGAUUUAUUGGGCGUAAAGCGAGCGCAGGCGGUUUCUUAAGUCUGAUGUGAAAGCCCCCGGCUCAACCGGGGAGGGUCAUUGGAAACUGGGAGACUUGAGUGCAGAAGAGGAGAGUGGAAUUCCAUGUGUAGCGGUGAAAUGCGUAGAUAUAUGGAGGAACACCAGUGGCGAAGGCGGCUCUCUGGUCUGUAACUGACGCUGAGGCUCGAAAGCGUGGGGAGCGAACAGG